rnacentral:rRNA from 1 species
ACCCCGGGAAACUGGGGCUAAUGCCUGAUAGGCGAGGACGCCUGGAAUGACCCUUCGCCCAAAGGGUGCUGAAACCACGCACACAGCAUCGCCUAAAGACGGGGCCGCGACCGAUCAGGCAGUUGGCGAGAUAAAGGCUCACCAAACCUAUAACCGGUACGGGCCGUGAGAGCGGGAGCCCGGAGAUGGGCACUGAGACAAGGGCCCAGGCCCUACGGGGCGCAGCAGUUACGAAACCUCCACAAUGCACGAAAGUGCGAUGGGGCUACCCCGAGUGCCGUCCGCUGAGGAUGGCUUUUCCUUAGCGUAAUGAACUAGGGGAAUAAGGAGAGGGCAAGACUGGUGUCAGCCGCCGCGGUAAUACCAGCUCUCCGAGUGGUAGGGAUGAUUAUUGGGCUUAAAGCGUCCGUAGCCGGCUCAACAAGUCCCCUGUUAAAUCCAACGACCCAAUCGCUGGACUGCAGGAGAUACUGCUGGGCUAGGGGACGGGAGAGGCCGACGGUAUUUCCGGGGGAGGGGUGAAAUCCUAUAAUCCCGGGAGGACCACCAGUGGCGAAGGCUGUCGGCUAGAACGCGCUCGACGGUGAGGGACGAAAGCUGGGGGAGCGAACCGGAUUAGAUACCCGGGUAGUCCCAGCUGUAAACGAUGCGGGCUAGGUGUUGGGGUGGCUACGAGCCACUUCAGUGCCGCAGCGAAGGUAU